AUACGUAGGGGACGAGCGUUGUCCGGAAUUACUGGGCGUAAAGGGCGCGCAGGCGGAUAUUUAAGUCAGCUGUAAAAGGCAUGAGCUCAACUCAUGUAUGCGGUUGAAACUGGGUAUCUAGAGUGCUGGAGAGGUAGGCGGAAUUCCCGGGGUAGCGGUGAAAUGCGUAGAUAUCGGGAAGAACACCAGGGGCGAAGGCGGCUUACUGGCCAGCAACUGACGCUGAGGCGCGAAAGCCAGGGGAGCGAACGGGAUUAGAUACCCCGGUAGUCCUGGCCGUAAACGAUGAAUGCUAGGUGUGGGUGUCGAGAGGCAUCCGUGCCGGAGUUAACGCGAUAAGCAUUCCGCCUGGGGAGUACGAUCGCAAGAUUGAAACUCAAAUGAAUUGGCGGGG
rnacentral:rRNA from 1 species